rnacentral:rRNA from 1 species
CAUGGCUGUCGUCAACUAGUGUAAUGAGAUGUUGGGUUAAGUCCCGCAACGAGCGCAACCGUUACUGUGAGUUGCCAUCAUUAAGUUGGGCACUCUGAAAGAACUACCAGUCAUAAGCUGGAGGAAGGUGGAGAUGACGUCAAAUCUUCAUGGCCCUUACGUGUUGGGCUACACACGUGCUACAAUGGCAUCUACAACAGGAAGCAAAACGGCAACAUUAAGCAAAUCCAGAAAAGAUGCCUCAGUUCAGAUUGCACUCUGCAAAUCGAGUGCAUGAAACUGAAAUUACUAGUAAUCGUGGAUCAGCGUGCCUCGGUGAAUGCGUUACCGGGUCUUGUACACACCGCCCGUCACACCAUGGGAGUAGGUUCUACCUUAAGGCAAGAUUUUAAACCCUUGACCACGGUAAUAGUCAGCGACUGGGGUGAAGUCGUAACAAGGUACCAUA